GCCGAUCAGGCUGUUGGUGAGGUAAUGGCCCACCAAACCUGUAACCGGUACGGGCUCUGAGAGGAGGAGCCCGGAGAUGGGCACUGAGACAAGGGCCCAGGCCCUAUGGGGCGCAGCAGGCGCGAAACCUCUGCAAUAGGCGAAAGCCUGACAGGGUUACUAUGAGUGAUUCCCGCUAAGGGAAUCUUUUGGCAUCUCUAAAAAUGGUGCAGAAUAAGGGGUGGGCAAGUCUGGUGUCAGCCGCCGCGGUAAUACCAGCACCCCGAGUGGUCGGGACGAUUAUUGGGCCUAAAGCAUCCGUAGCCGGUUUUACAAGUCCUCCGUUAAAUCCAACUGCUUAACAGAUGGGCCGCGGAGGAUACUAUAAGACUAGGAGGCAGGAGAGGCAAGCGGUACUCAGUGGGUAGGGGUAAAAUCCGUUGAUCCAUUGAAGACCACCAGUGGCGAAGGCGGCUUGCCAGAAUGCGCUCGACGGUGAGGGAUGAAAGCUGGGGGAGCAAACCGGAUUAGAUACCCGGGUAGUCCCAGCUGUAAACGAUGCAGACUCGGUGAUGGACUAGCUUCAUGCUAGUCCAGUGCCGCAGGGAAGCCGUUAAGUUUGCCGCCUGGGGAGUACGGUCGCAAGACUGAAACUUAA
rnacentral:rRNA from 1 species